rnacentral:misc_RNA from 1 species
UUAAAGAUUUGUUUAAAUGCUUUAUGCUGAGUCAGGAUAUUUUCUUAUGAAUCUUGCAUUUGAAACCGAAGACCGACCCUGGUGCUGCUUUAAGUGCCAAUUGUUUCAGUUUGCCAACUGACCUUAAGCUGACAACAUCGCCGAAAGAAUUGUAUUUUUCGAUUAAACGUUUGCUCUGCUCGAUGAUGUGGAAAAGUCGUGAAAGCUUGUUGUGCAACGCUGAUGAGCCCGAUCAGACUGCAGAACAUAUCAGCAACAUCGACGUGGAACAGUUCCCAAAUGACUCUCCGGCGGAUGGACAAUUCUCCGCUUUCAAUACGAAAGCCUUUGUGGAAUCGAUAAAUUUGACCAAUUUCGCAAUUGUGUUUUGUGUUUUAACAAAUUUUUCCAUUAUUGCAUUAUUGUUCGUAUAUUUUAUACACUUUAAGCUGUCACAUUAAUUAAUUGUCAA